rnacentral:RNase_P_RNA from 1 species
GAGAGCGGGUAUCCGACUUCCGGCGAAAGCCGAGGAAAGUCCACCCAUCCAUGAAAGGCCACUCGCGAGAGUCCCGGAGACGGGAGGCAACCACUCAGAAACGGCACGGCCGCGCGGCAAGAUGAUGGCGGGUCCCCGCGAGGGGAGCAAGCGCCUGAUGUUCCGCGCGGAAUCGGUGAAACGGUGAGCCCUGGCUGAUGCAAGCCGCAAGGCGCUCAGUUGAAUGUCGGAACGGACCGUCCGCAAGGGGUCCGACAGAAGGUGGCUUAUGCCCGCUCUC